AAUAUGUCCUGGCAAACCCAUCGAAAGGUGGGGACGCAAAGCUAUAGGGCCUUGUGCGCAUGGCAGCCAGCUGCGGUU
rfam:Olsenella uli DSM 7084, complete genome.